GAUGAACGCUGGUGGCGUGCCUAACACAUGCAAGUCGAGCGAUUCUCUUCGGCGAAGAGCGGCGGACGGGUGAGUAACGCGUGGGUAACCUGCCCUGUACACACGGAUAACAUACCGAAAGGUAUGCUAAUACGAGAUAACAUGCUUUUAUCGCAUGGUAGAAGUAUCAAAGCUUUUGCGGUACAGGAUGGACCCGCGUCUGAUUAGCUAGUUGGUGAGGUAACGGCUCACCAAGGCGACGAUCAGUAGCCGACCUGAGAGGGUGAUCGGCCACAAUGGAACUGAGACACGGUCCAAACUCCUACGGGAGGCAGCAGUGGGGAAUAUUGCACAAUGGGCGAAAGCCUGAUGCAGCAACGCCGCGUGAGCGAUGAAGGCCUUCGGGUCGUAAAGCUCUGUCCUCAAGGAAGAUAAUGACGGUACUUGAGGAGGAAGCCCCGGCUAACUACGUG
rnacentral:rRNA from 1 species